AAAAGUCGUAACAAGGUUUCCGUAAGACCGUGAGUUAGACUGUAGUUUUUAACGCUACAAUCACACCAUUCCCGCACGGUACGUUUAUACGAAUUCCUGAUUAACUUCAGUUGAGUUUGUAUCGAUGUCGUAUAUUACUAAUACGAAACAACUCUUAGCAACGGAUAUCUUGGUUCUC
rnacentral:misc_RNA from 1 species